ensembl:antisense Gm15353 predicted gene 15353
ACAGUGAAGAAGGAAUGCAGGAAGAGUCUCGGGAUCAGGAGCCCACAGGCUGGACUCACUCCAGCUUCUGCAGAGUCGGGACGAAGCCUCAGGAGGGAUGGCUCCACAGCAAGAAUCACCGUUUGUCUGGACCAGAGCCUGGGAGAAGCAGAAACAUAGGGCUCAUGCUGAGAAAGGCUCCAACCCCCGGUUCCUACUUGGGGUUCACCUUGGAAGACCAGACUGUAGCUGUUCCUUGCGGACAGGGCAGUCACCGGCAGAGAGAGAUGGGAGCUGAAACAUAAGCCGCAGACCUCAGGUUAACCCAUGACAACCCUCGGCACAGCCAGGGGCUUGGCUACUCUUUCUGGUGUCCCGUGGCGCAGCUCAGGAUCUUAGAGUCUGAUCAUCAGCUCGGAUCAGAGGGCGGCUUGGGCCGCCAGCACCUACCUGAGGCUGUGGCCGCCGUGGCCUCUGCUUUGUCUGGAACCAGCCUGAUGCCAUCAGACACGUCCACCUGGUGAUCAGCCUCCUCCCUUGAGGCCCCAUCAUGCUGUGGUGACAGAGGAUUGCUUCUAACGUGUUCCUUGCAGAAGAUGAAGCACCAGCAGUCGGACAUGAGGCCGUGAUGUCAAAGGAACAUGAGGUCAAGGUGCAGAUCGAAGGAUUGCUUCUUCGGACAAGAACAAAACCACUAGCUGCAGUCUUUAGCAUUUAUUCUGA